rnacentral:rRNA from 1 species
CGCCUUGCCAGCCCGCUCAGAACUCAAUGGAAUUGACGGGGGCCCGCACAAGCGGAGGAACAUGUGGUUUAAUUCGAUGAUACGCGAGGAACCUUACCUGGGCUCAAAUGUAUGUUUGACGUAUUCUGAAAGGGAUACUUCUUCGGACAAUAUACAAGGUGCUGCAUGGUUGUCGUCAGCUCGUGCCGUGAGGUGUCGGGUUAAGUCCCAUAACGAGCGCAACCCCUACCUUUAGUUGCCAUCAGGUAAUGCUGGGGACUCUAAAGGAACUGCCUACGCAAGUAGUGAGGAAGGCGGGGAUGACGUCAAAUCAACACGGCCCUUACGUCCAGGGCUACACACGUGCUACAAUGGCCGAUACAGAGGGCAGCUACCUGGUGACAGGAUGCAAAUCUCCAAAGUCGGUCUCAGUUCGGAUCGGAGUCUGCAACCCGACUCCGUGAAGUUGGAUUCGCUAGUAAUCGCGCAUCAGCCAUGGCGCGGUGAAUACGUUCCCGGGCCUU